AAAAUGUAAAAUGAAGAAAAAAAUAUUUGGGGUGUUCAGGCUUCCUGAAUGUAAUACCCGGGUAUUAGAUUUCAAGGCUAGGGUAAGGUUUAACGUUUUGGCGUUAGGUUUAAAAUCACUGUCCAAAACCUUUGUAGGAACUCUUUAACAACCUUUUGGAUUUAGUUAGACCAAAAAAAAAUGAAAAAUGAAAAAAAAAAUAUUUGGGGUGUUCAGGCUUCCUAAAAGUAAUACCCGGGUAUUAGGUUAUGGGGCUAUGGUAAGGUUUAAGGUUUUUGGCGUUAGGGUUAAAAUCACUGUCCAAAACCUUUGUAGGAACUCUUUUCCAACCUUUUGGAGUUAGUUAGACCAAAAAAUAGGAAAAAAGAAAAAAAUAUUUUUGGGGGUUUUCGGGCUCCCUGAAAGAAAUACCCGGAUAUUGUGUUUUGGGGCUAUGGUAAGGUUUAAGUUUUUUGGCGUUAGGGUUAAAAUCACUGUCCAAAACCUUUGUAGGAACUCUUUUCCAACCUUUUGGAGUUAGACCAAAAAAUAUGAAAAAAGAAAAAAAUAUUAUUGGGGGUUUUCGGGCUCCCUGAAAGUAAUACCCGGGUAUUAGGUUUUGGGGCUAUGGUAAGGUUUAAGUUUUUUGGCGUUAGGGUUAAAAUCACUGUCCAAAACCUUUGUAGGAACUCUUUUCCAACCUUUUUUGAGUUAGUUAGACCAAAAAAAUUUGAAAAAUGAAAAAACAAUAUUUGGGGUUUUCGGGGUUCCUGAAUGUAAUACCCGGGUAUUAGAUUUUAAGGCUAGGGUAAGGUUUAAGUUUUUUGGCAUUAGGGUUAAAAUCACUGUCCAAAACCUUUGUAGGAACUCUUUUCCAACCUUUUGGAGUUGGUUACACCAACAAAAAUGUAAAAUGAAGAAAAAAAUAUUUGGGGUGUUCAGGCUUCCUGAAGGUAAUACCCGGGUAUUAGAUUUUAAGGCUAGGGUAAGGUUUAAGGUUUUUGGCGUUAGGGUUAAAAUCACUGUCCAAAACCUUUGUAGGAACUCUUUUCCAACCUUUUGGAGUUAGUUAGACCAAAAAAUAUGAAAAAAGAAAAAAAUAUUAUUGGGGGUUUUCGGGCUCCCUGAAGGUAAUACCCAGGUAUUAGGUUUUGGGACUGGGGAAAGGUUUAAGGUUUUUGGCGUUAGGGUUAAAAUCACUGUCCAAAACCUUUGUAGGAACUCUUUUCCAACCUUUUGGAGUUGGUUACACCAACAAAAAUGUAAAAUGAAAAAAAUAUAUAUUUUGGUUGUUCGGGCUUCCUAAAAGUAAUACCCGGGUAAUUGGUUAUGGGGCUAUGGUAAGGUUUAAGGUUUUUGGCAUUAGGGUUAAAAUCACUGUCCAAAACCUUUGUAAGAACUCUUUUCCAACCUUUUGGAGUUAGUAAGACCAGAAAAAGAAUGAAAAAUGAAAAAAAAUAUAUUUGGGUUUUCCGGGCUUCCUGAAUGCAAUACCCGGGUAUUAGAUUUUAAAGCCAGGGUAAGGUUUAAGUUUUUUGGCGUUAGGGUUAAAAUCACUGUCCAAAACCUUUGUAGGAACUCUUUUCCAACCUUUUGGAGUUAGUUAGACCACAAAAAAAAGAAAAAUGAAAAAAAAAUAUUUUGGGUGUUCAGGCUUCCUCAAAGUAAUACCCGGGUAUUAGGUUAUGGGGCUAUGGUAAGUAUUAGGGUUUUUGGCAUUAGGGUUAAAAUCACUGUCCAAAACCUUUGUAAGAACUCUUUUCCAACCUUUUGGAGUUAGUUAGACCAAAAAAAAAUGAAAACUGAAAAAAAAAAUAUUUGGGGUUUUCGGGCUUCCUGAAUGUAAUACCCGGGAAUUAGAUUUUAAGGCUAGGGUAAGGUUUAAGUUUUUUGGCGUUAGGGUUAGAAUCACUGUCCAAAACCUUUGUAGGAACUCUUUUCCAACCUUUUGGAGUUAGUUUGACCAAAAAAAAAAGAAAAAUGAAAAAAAAAUAUUUGGGGUGUUCAGGCUUCCUAAAAGUAAUACCCGGGUAUUAGGUUAUGGGGCUAUGGUAAGGUUUAAGGUUUAUGGCGUUAGGGUUAAAAUCACUGUCAAAAACCUUUGUAGGAACUCUUUUCCAACCUUUUGGAGUUGGUUACACCAACAAAAAUGUAAAAUGAAAAAAAAAUAUUUGGGGUGUUCGAGCUUCCUGAAGGUAAUACCCGGGUAUUAGGUUAUGGGGCUAUGGUAAGGUUUUAUUGUUUGGCGUUAGGUUUAAAAUAAAAAAAACAAACAAACAAACAAAAAAAAAAUCUCAAAAACAAAAGUUCAAACAAGACACAAACUCAAGAUCAAAAAACACCACAAACUCAAGUUCAACCAACACCCAAAUCUCAAGUUUAACAAUUGCCACAACCUCUAGUUCAAAAACAACACAAACUCAAGUUCAAACACGACACAAACUCAGGUGCAAAAACACCACAAACUCAAGUUCAACAAUUGCCACCAACUAAAGUUCAGAGAAAAAUACAGACUCAAGUUCAACAAUUGCCACAAACUCAAGUUCAACAAACACCACAAUCUUAAGUUCAACAAAUUCCAAAAUUUCAAGUUCAACAAAUGACCUAAACUCACAUUUAACAAUUGCCAAAAACUUAAAAGUUAAAAAAGUGCCACAAACUGAAGUUCAAAAACACCACAAACUGAAGUGUGUGAGGACAUGCAAACCACCAGACUGCACCUGUCUCAGCAAUGGGCUGAAGUGCACAAACCUGUGCAAAUUACAAACUUGUGCCAACCAGUACAGUGAGGAAGAGCCCCUUGCACACCGGCAGAUUCAGAUGUAGAAGAAGAUACAGAUACUGAUGUCGAUUACUGAUGUUGAUUAAUAAGUGAUGACCAAAGGGAGCUAUGUUAGCAGACCCACUGUGACUCAGUGACAGAAUUAUGUGCUAAGCCAAAACUUGACAGUCAUAUUUGCCGUCACUGUUCCUUAUGGAAAGAAUAGGACUUUGAAUAGGAAUUGGAGUUUUUCUCAGAUGAUUGUAUAGAGUGUAUACAUCAGUAGAUCUUAUUUUGAUGCUAAUGUCUUCUUGCCCUGCACCAGCCAGGAUGAUUGUAUAUUGAGUGCCUACAUUUAAAAUAUGUCAGUGUCAUAUUAAAGUUGUGUUAUUAUAAUGCUAUUAGUCUGCAUUUAUUUUAUUUCUACUUCUAAGUCAAAAAAUAUCCUUAAUUUAGACCUUGAUUUAGACCUGACAAUUAGCUAAUUGAAGCUUAUAUAUACACACCUGUAUUAGAUAAAUUAUUUGAAAUACUACUUAGGGGGUUAAUACAAGUCUCUAUGGCUAGCCAAUAGUUCAAACACACCUAAAUGAGAGGUUAAAAUGAAAGAAAGCUCAUUUUGAAGGAAGGCGAUUUUUCGUUUUUGAACAGCUGCACUCUAUUACUUCAAUGAGUAAUAACUACAAUAAAGCUACCAGUUACCAAGGUCUAUCAAAUAAAAACUUAUUGUAGGGAUGUAUAAAAAAAUCACAACUAGAAUUUGCCCACCGAAGUGGUACCGAUAUGUGAAAUUUUGGUUCUUGGCUCAAGGACUAAAACUCAAGUUCAACAAACACAACAAGUCAAGUUCAAGCAACACCCGAUCCUCAAGUUCAACAAUUUCCACAAACUUAAGUUAAAAAACACCAGAACCUCUAGUUCAAAAAACAUGAUAAACUCAAGUUCAAAUAUGCCACAAACUCAAGUUCAAUGAACACCACAAACUCAAGUUCAACCACCACCCGAUUCUCAAGUUUAACAAUUGCCACAACCUCAAGGUUAAAAAAAACACAAACUCAAGUUCAAACACUUCACAAACUCAAGUUCAAACACUUCACAAACUCAAGUUCAAAAACACCACACAAACUCAAGUUAAACAAACACAACAAGUCAAGUUCAAGCAACACCCGAUCCUCAAGUUCAACAAUUUCCACAAACUUAAGUUAGAAAACACCAGAACCUCAAGUUCAAAAAACAUAAUAAACUCAAGUUCAAAUAUGCCACAAACUCAAGUUCAAUGAACACCACAAACUCAAGUUCAACGAACGCCACAAACAAAAGUUCAACAAUUGCCACCAACUAAAGUUCACUAAAAACCAUAGACUCAAGUUCAACAAUUGCCAAAAAAUCAAGCCAAACAAACUCAAGUUCAUAAGUUGCCACAAACUUCAAACACGACACAAACUCAAGUUCAAAAACACCACAAACUCAAGUUCAAAAACGACACAAACUCAAGUUCAACAAACAAAACUAACUAUUUAGAGUAAUUUUGAGGUGUUUGAGAGGUUUUUUGUAGACUUACCCUAGUGGUCCUAAGUUGUUGUUGAUGUGAGGGGUUUCUUUUCCAGUAGUCUAAAAUCUGUUGGAGGGGGGAAAAGGUUCCAGCUGUCCAUCCGCGGUGGCAGCGGUGUGUCUGAAGUCCGGGGUCCUCGGCGGGGGAAAGAAGAUCAUCGCUCCGCGGGAAGGUUUGCUGGGACUCGGUGCUGUCGGCAGGUCGAAGCUCGGUGGUGGGCGGCUUGGAGUGAUGGAGGUGCGGCGUCUUCUUUCAGUUGGCGGCGCGGCGUCUUCCUCGAUGGUGGUCCGUCUUCUUGGUCCAGAGGUCAGUGCUUUGUCUCAAUAACUGGAACAGGAACUGCUCUUUAGUGCACGGCACUUAAUUGUGCUUUUCACACGAGAAGACAUCCCCAGAGUUGGGCUCGAGUCAUGGUUUGUGCUGUUCCUCUCAGACAUGGUUGUGUUCUCUUCUCGAUGUUUGUAUUCCAGAAUGGAUGUCUCUUGGUUGUAUUUUAAACCUUCAAGUUGUUUUAAGUUAAUUUUAAUGUAGUUUAUUGUUUUAAAUUGAGUUUUGCUACAUUCAAUUUGUAUGCAAUCGCAAGGGAUUGUGGGUAUUUUAGUUCUGAGGGAUGAGAGCCUAAGGAAUCAAUCUUCCUGUUACAGCAAAGGAUUGUGGGUAAAACCGUGAGGGAGUGAGGUACUUCCUUUCUGGCAUGAGAGCCUUGGGAAUCAAUCUCCCUGUUGCAGCAAAGGAUUGUGGGUAAAACCGUGAGUGAGGGAGGUACAUUUUUCCUGGCAUGAGAACCUCAGGAGUCAGUCCUUCCUAAGAAAAAAGAGGGGAGGGGGGAAGAAAAACAAAAGCACAGGAACCCUAAAAUAAAAUAAAAUAAUAUAAAACAAUGAAAAAAUAAAAGAAGAACAAAAGUGGAUUGAAAAGGGAAAGGGGAAGAAAAAAGGAAAAAAAGAAGUGUCAAGAGCAAAUAGCAAAAAUCAGAAGUGAGCUUAAAAACAGAGAACAGUUCCCUAAAAAAAAAACAGAAAUGUAAAUCUGAUCAAUGUCCUAAGGGAAAAUCUGUACGUGUGUGUGUGUUCUUUUUUGCUAACUUAGUCUGGUGUCACUGAUGGUCAGUUAUUGAUAAGUAUUUAUUAUUUAAAUUUUUGAUGAAGUUGUUUGUAGUGGGGUUAGCUGGCUAAUUUUAGAGUGUUAAAAAAGAUGUUAGAGGGGGAGGAUUUAGGGGGCACGGCGGUUCCCCUUCAGGUCUCUCUUAAUCCUCCAUAUAGGUGACCCAACAGGGGUUACCCCCCGGCCGGGGUAGGCCGAGGCUGAAGAUCACCUAUUUGUCCUCUGUGAAGGUGAAAAUAAAGGGGCAGGGGAGGGAAUAAGAAAGGGGGGGUGUUAGAGAGAGGGGGAGAGAUGAGGGGGAGAGAUGAGGGAGAGAGAGAGAGAGAGAGAGAGAGAGAGAGAGAGAGAGUGUGUGUGUGUGUGUGUGUGUGUGUGUGUGUGUGUGUGUGUGUGUGUGUGUGUGAGAGAGAGAGAGAGAGAGAGAGAGAGAGAAGGGAAGAGGGAGAGGGGGGUUUAAGGGAGAGGUGGAGAUGGUGGAAAAUAAAGAUUGGUGAGGGGGAUGUUGACAUAUCACAUGUUCCCAGUCAAGUCUCCAAGCUCAAUCUGUGUGUAAAAAUUAUGUGUUGGUAGGAAGUUUAAUGACUCCACUCAAUUGGUAUGCCAUGCUGUCUAUCUUUUAGACUAUGUGUUUGUAAAUUAUGUAUAUAUUAUAUUACAGGGCUAGGGUAAGGUUAAAGGUUUUUGGCGUUAGGGUUAAAAUCACUGUCCAAAACCUUUGUAGGAACUCUUUUCCAACCUUUUGGAGUAAGCUAGACCAAAAAAAAAAAAAAUGAAAAAUGAAAAAAAAAAUGUUUGGGGUGUGAAGGCUUCCUUAAGUUAAUACCCGGGUAUAAGGUUCGGGAAUAGGGUAAGGUUGAAGGUUUUUGGCGUUAGGGUUAAAAUCACUGUCCAAAACCUUUGUAGGAACUCUUUUCCAACCUUUUGGAGUUAGCUAGACCAAAAAAAAAAAAAAUGAAAAAUGAAAAAAAAAAAUGUUUGGGGUGUGAAGGCUUCCUUAAGUUAAUACCCUGGUGUUAGGUUCGGGAAUAGGGUAAGGUUGAAGGUUUUUGGCGUUAGGGUUAAAAUCACUGUCCAAAACCUUUUUAGGAACAUGUUUCAGACCUUUUGGAGUUGGUUACACCAAAAAAAAUGUAAAAUGAAAAAAAAAAAUUGGGGGGUUUUCGGACUUCCUGAAGGUAAUACCCAGGUAUUAGGUUAUGGGGCUAUGGUAAGGUUUAAGGUUUUUGGCGUUAGGGUUAAAAUCACUGUCCAAAACCUUUUUAGGAACAUGUUUCAGACCUUUUGGAGUUAGUUAGACCAAAAAAAAAAAAGAAAAAAAAAAAAGUAUUUUGGGUGUUCAGGACUCCUGAAGGUUAUACAGGUAUUAUAUUAGGUUAUGGGGCUUGGGUAAGGUUUAAGGUUUUUGGCGUUAGGGUUAAAAUCACUGUCCAAAACCUUUGUAGGAACUCUUUUCAAACCUUUUGGAGUUAGUUAGACCAAAAAAAAAAGAAAAAUGAAAAAUGAAAAAAAAAAUGUUUGGGGUGUGAAGGCUUCCUUAAGUUAAUACCCGGGUAUAAGGUUCGGGAAUAGGGUAAGGUUGAAGGUUUUUGGCGUUAGGGUUAAAAUCACUGUCCAAAACCUUUAUAGGAACAUGUUUCAGACCUUUUGGAGUUGGUUACACCAAAAAAAAUGUAAAAAGAAAAAAAAAUAAUUGGGGUGUUCGGGCUUCCUGAAGGUAAUACCCAGGUAUUAGGUUAUGGGGCUAUGGUAAGGUUUAAGGUUUUUGGCGUUAGGGUUAAAAUCACUGUCCAAAACCUUUUUAGGAACAUGUUUCAGAACUUUUGGAGUUAGACCAAAAAAAAAAAGAAAAAAAAAGAAAAGUAUUUUGGGUGUUAAGGCCUCCUGAAGGUUAUACAGGUAUAAUAUUAGGUUAUGGGGCUUGGGUAAGGUUUAAGGUUUUUGGCGUUAGGGUUAAAAUCACUGUCCAAAACCUUUGUAGGAACUCUUUUCCAACCUUUUGGAGUUAGCUAGACCAAAAAAAAAAAAAAAGAAAAAUGAAAAAAAAAAAUGUUUGGGGUGUGAAGGCUUCCUUAAGUUAAUACCCGGGUGUUAGGUUCGGGAAUAGGGUAACGUUGAAGGUUUUUGGCGUUAGGGUUAAAAUCACUGUCCAAAACCUUUUUAGGAACAUGUUUCAGACCUUUUGGAGUUGGUUACAACAAAAAAAAUGUAAAAUGAAAAAAAAAAUUUGGGGGGUUUUCGGGCUUCCUGAAGGUAAUACCCAGGUAUUAGGUUAUGGGGCUAUG